CCUUCGAUAGCUCAGUUGGUAGAGCGGUGGACUGUAGAAGUUUUCCAGGUGAUCGAUUCCCGCAGGCAUCCAUAGGUCGCUGGUUCAAAUCCGGCUCGAAGGA
rnacentral:tRNA from 1 species